rnacentral:rRNA from 1 species
AAAUGAAUAGACGGGGGCCCGCACAAGCAGCGGAGCAUGUGGUUUAAUUCGAAGCAACGCGAAGAACCUUACCAGGGCUUGACAUGGCCAUGACGUGCCUAGAGAUAGGCAUUUCCGUUAAAAGACAUGGUCACAGGUGGUGCAUGGUUGUCGUCAGCUCGUGUCGUGAGAUGUUGGGUUAAGUCCCGCAACGAGCGCAACCCCUAUCACUAGUUGCUAGCAGGUAAAGCUGAGCACUCUAGCGAGACUGCCGGGGACAACUCGGAGGAAGGUGGGGAUGACGUCAAAUCAUCAUGCCCCUUAUGUCCUGGGCUACACACGUGCUACAAUGGCCGGAACAGAGGGCAGCUAAGGAGUAAUCCGGAGCGAAUCCCAAAAACCCGGUCUCAGUUCGGAUUGUGGGCUGCAACCCGCCCACAUGAAGUCGGAGUUGCUAGUAAUCGCAGAUCAGCCAUGCUGCGGUGAAUGCGUUCCCGGGCCUUGUACACACCGCCCGU